AGAGUUUGAUCCUGGCUCAGGAUGAACGCUGGCGGCGUGCCUAACACAUGCAAGUCGAACGGGCGUACGGGAUGGAAGGCUCCGGCCGGAAGCCCCGUGCAUGAGUGGCGGACGGGUGAGUAACGCGUGGGCAACCUGCCCUGUACAGGGGGACAACACUUAGAAAUAGGUGCUAAUACCGCAUAACGGGGGGAGCCGCAUGGCACCCCCCUGAAAACUCCGGUGGUACAGGAUGGGCCCGCGUCUGAUUAGCUUGUUGGCAGGGUAACGGCCUACCAAGGCGACGAUCAGUAGCCGGCCUGAGAGGGCGGACGGCCACACUGGGACUGAGACACGGCCCAGACUCCUGCGGGAGGCAGCAGUAGGGAAUUUUCGUCAAUGGGCGCAAGCCUGAACGAGCGAUGCCGCGUGAGUGAAGAAGGCCUUCGGGUCGUAAAGCUCUGUUGCGGGGGAAAAAAGGCAGCAUCAGGAAAUGGGUGCUGACUGAUGGUGCCCCGCCAGAAAGUCACGGCUAACUACGUGCCAGCAGCCGCGGUAAUACGUAGGUGGCGAGCGUUAUCCGGAAUGAUUGGGCGUAAAGGGUGCGCAGGCGGUCCUGCAAGUCUGGAGUGAAACGCAUGAGCUCAACUCAUGCAUGGCUUUGGAGACUGGAGGACUGGAGAGCAGGAGAGGGCGGUGGAACUCCAUGUGUAGCGGUAAAAUGCGUAGAUAUAUGGAAGAACACCAGUGGCGAAGGCGGCCGCCUGGCCUGUUGCUGACGCUGAGGCACGAAAGCGUGGGGAGCAAAUAGGAUUAGAUACCCUAGUAGUCCACGCCGUAAACGAUGAGGACCAAGUGUUGGGGGUGAAACCUCAGUGCUGAAGUUAACGCAGUGAGUCCUCCGCCUGGGGAGUAUGCACGCAAGUGUGAAACUCAAAGGAAUUGACGGGGGCCCGCACAAGCGGUGGAGUAUGUGGUUUAAUUCGAAGCAACGCGAAGAACCUUACCAGGCCUUGACAUGGGAUGCGAAGAUGCAGAGAUGCAUCGGAGGUCAACAUCCACACAGGUGGUGCAUGGUUGUCGUCAGCUCGUGUCGUGAGAUGUUGGGUCAAGUCCCGCAACGAGCGCAACCCUUGUGGCAUGUUGCUAACAGGAAAAGCUGAGGACUCAUGCCAGACUGCCGGUGACAAACCGGAGGAAGGCGGGGAUGACGUCAAAUCAUCAUGCCCCUUAUGGCCUGGGCUACACACGUACUACAAUGGCGGCUACAAAGAGCAGCGAGACAGGGAUGUCGAGCGAAUCUCAUAAAAGCCGUCCCAGUUCGGAUUGGAGGCUGCAACCCGCCUCCAUGAAGUUGGAAUCGCUAGUAAUCGCGGAUCAGCAUGCCGCGGUGAAUACGUUCCCGGGCCUUGUACACACCGCCCGUCAA
rnacentral:rRNA from 1 species